rnacentral:rRNA from 1 species
GCAGUCGUGACUGCGUGCCUUUUGAAGAAUGAGCCUGCGAGUUAGCGGUGUGUAGCGAGGUUAACCCGUGUGGGGAAGCCGUAGCGAAAGCGAGUCCGAAUAGGGCGAUUGAGUUGCACGCUCUAGACCCGAAGCGGAGUGAUCUAGCCAUGGGCAGGUUGAAGCGGAGGUAAGACUUCGUGGAGGACCGAACCCACCAGGGUUGAAAACCUGGGGGAUGACCUGUGGUUAGGGGUGAAAGGCCAAUCAAACUCCGUGAUAGCUGGUUCUCCCCGAAAUGCAUUUAGGUGCAGCGUCGUGUGUUUCUUGCCGGAGGUAGAGCACUGGAUAGGCGAUGGGCCCUACCGGGUUACUGACCUUAGCCAAACUCCGAAUGCCGGUAAGUGAGAGCACGGCAGUGAGACUGUGGGGGAUAAGCUCCAUGGUCGAGAGGGAAACAGCCCAGAGCAUCGACUAAGGCCCCUAAGCGUACGCUAAGUGGGAAAGGAUGUGGAGUCGCAGAGACAACCAGGAGGUUGGCUUAGAAGCAGCCACCCUUGAAAGAGUGCGUAAUAGCUCACUGGUCAAGUGAUUCCGCGCCGACAAUGUAGCGGGGCUCAAGCGUACCGCCGAAGUCGUGUCAUUCAUACACAUAGGGCCAACGCCCGUAUGGAUGGGUAGGGGAGCGUCGUGUGCCGGGUGAAGCAGCCGCGGAAGCGAGUUGUGGACGGUUCACGAGUGAGAAUGCAGGCAUGAGUAGCGAUACACACGUGAGAAACGUGUGCGCCGAUUGACUAAGGGUUCCUGGGUCAAGCUGAUCUGCCCAGGGUAAGUCGGGACCUAAGGCGAGGCCGACAGGCGUAGUCGAUGGACAACCGGUUGAUAUUCCGGUACCCGCUUUGAAACGCCCAAUACUGAAUCAGGCGAUGCUAAGUCCGUGAAGCCGGCCCGAUCUCUUCGGAGUUGAGGGUAGUGGUGGAGCCGACGAACCAGACUUGUACUAGGUAAGCGAUGGGGUGACGCAGGAAGGUAGUCCAGCCCGGGCGGUGGUAGUCCCGGGGUAAGGGUGUAGGCCGUGUGGUAGGUAAAUCCGUCACACAUUAAGGCUGAGACCUGAUGCCGAGCCGAUUGUGGUGAAGUGGAUGAUCCUAUGCUGUCGAGAAAAGCCUCUAGCGAGUUUCAUGGCGGCCCGUACCCUAAACCGACUCAGGUAGUCAGGUAGAGAAUACCGAGGCGUUCGGGUGAACUAUGGUUAAGGAACUCGGCAAAAUGCCCCCGUAACUUCGGGAGAAGGGGGGCCAUCACUGGUGAUCCGAUUUACUCGGUGAGCUGGGGGUGGCCGCAGAGACCAGCGAGAAGCGACUGUUUACUAAAAACACAGGUCCGUGCGAAGCCGUAAGGCGAUGUAUACGGACUGACGCCUGCCCGGUGCUGGAACGUUAAGGGGACCGGUUAGUGCACUUUCGGGUGUGCGAAGCUGAGAACUUAAGCGCCAGUAAACGGCGGUGGUAACUAUAACCAUCCUAAGGUAGCGAAAUUCCUUGUCGGGUAAGUUCCGACCUGCACGAAUGGCGUAACGACUUCUCGACUGUCUCAACCAUAGGCCCGGUGAAAUUGCACUACGAGUAAAGAUGCUCGUUUCGCGCAGCAGGACGGAAAGACCCCGGGACCUUUACUAUAGUUUGAUAUUGGUGUUCGGUUCGGCUUGUGUAGGAUAGGUGGGAGACUUUGAAGCGGCCACGCCAGUGGUUGUGGAGUCGUCGUUGAAAUACCACUCUGGUCGUGCUGGAUGUCUAACCUGGGUCCGUGAUCCGGAUCAGGGACAGUGUCUGAUGGGUAGUUUAACUGGGGCGGUUGCCUCCUAAAGAGUAACGGAGGCGCCCAAAGGUUCCCUCAGCCUGGUUGGCAAUCAGGUGUUGAGUGUAAGUGCACAAGGGAGCUUGACUGUGAGACCGACGGGUCGAGCAGGGACGAAAGUCGGGACUAGUGAUCCGGCAGUGGCUUGUGGAAGCGCUGUCGCUCAACGGAUAAAAGGUACCCCGGGGAUAACAGGCUGAUCUUCCCCAAGAGUCCAUAUCGACGGGAUGGUUUGGCACCUCGAUGUCGGCUCGUCGCAUCCUGGGGCUGGAGUCGGUCCCAAGGGUUGGGCUGUUCGCCCAUUAAAGCGGUACGCGAGCUGGGUUUAGAACGUCGUGAGACAGUUCGGUCCCUAUCCGCUGUGCGCGUAGGAAUAUUGAGAAGGGCUGUCCCUAGUACGAGAGGACCGGGACGGACGAACCUCUGGUGUGCCAGUUGUCCUGCCAAGGGCAUGGCUGGUUGGCUACGUUCGGAAAGGAUAACCGCUGAAAGCAUCUAAGCGGGAAGCCUGCUUCGAGAUGAGUAUUCCCACCACCUUGAGUGGUUAAGGCUCCCAGUAGACGACUGGGUUGAUAGGCCAGAUGUGGAAGCCCGGUAACGGGUGGAGCUGACUGGUACUAAUAGGCCGAGGGCUUGUCCUCAGUUG